ACGAGAAGAGGGAAGAUGUGACAGCUCCAGGGACCCCCUCCCGUUCUUCUGCAUAGAACUUGCAGAGCAGCUGUUCCUGAGGAUGCAACGAUUAGCGGGGGCAUUCCAGCACAUUAAGAAAGCUGUCCCAGGGACUGUACAUGCUGUUAAUCACUGGCUGCAGCCAUGAACCACCUCACACAAUGAUAUGCCUACCAAAAACUGUAUUUAUUUACCACGAUGUGUUAAUGGGAUUUCUUCAAAUUAUUUUACUUGAAGACCUCGGCAAUACUUUUUCGAAUACUAUAACAAACAGCCAUUGACAAAGGCCAGAAAGCAUCCUUUAUUCUACCAUGAAUGAAAGAAGAGGUUUAAAGAGCAGUCUGCAAGUGCUGGGAUUCUCCUUUAUGUUAUAUUGUAGAGUUGGCCUGCUUUGCUUUUCUUCACUAGAACAUCAACCUGGACACUGUGCUGAUAGUAUGAUGGACAUCUCCAGAAUCAGCUAGAAAAUCCAAGGAAUACAUGGGCACUGCUGCGACCAAGAUCAUAAACAACGUCUUCCAGCACUGGACUGAUGCUUUCAUCAAGUCAACGUUUGAAGACCUCGUGAUUUGGAGAAACGCGCUGUCUGUUUUUGUAUAAAAUUAAGUCCUUGAUGAAAACAAAAUCCAUGUAUCUUUUAAAGACACAUUCUAGCACAUUCUAGUGCAGCAUUUGCUGAUA